rnacentral:lncRNA from 1 species
CCACAACUCCCGCAGGAAAGCCUAAGGAAUAAUGCCCAUGGAGGACUGUAAUAAAGGCAUAGUCCCACAGAGUCUCUCUCUUUCUCUGUCUCUUGACCCCCACUCGCUGGCUGAGCUCCCUGUCACCUGAACUUCCCAUAGGCCUCCUGUUGGCACUCUUAUCUCUGGGACAUGAUCCCUUCGUUUGAGGUAGGAUAUGGAAUCGCAUCCACUCUGAUUUGUUGCCAGCAGUGUUCUCCAACUUAAUUAUCCUCUGUGAUCCACACUAAAGUAUUUUGAAGAAUAACAAAGCUCUCCAAGGGUCUUAAUACAGUUCUGGAGGUCAGUAAGUCCAAUAUCAAGGUGCCAGCAUCAGGCAUUAUGGCCAGCACACUUCCUGCGAAUUUGUACCACCACCCCUUAUCUCAUCUAUGCUUCUGCUCACAGCACUGCACUGGAGCCAGGGGAUGGAUACCUGGCACUUGUAUGUCCUAUGAAGAAAGAGAGGAGGAUACAUUGCUUCCCUAUGUAUCCUUAAGGGAUAGACCAGAGGAAAAGUUAAGUAAUAGAUAAACAAUCAAUAAUACCUAAUUGGUUUCCCAAUCAAUUAGCACUUACUGUGUUGGAUUUGUUCACUUUCAGCCAUAGUUACACCUUGAAUUUCUGUAUUUCCAAAGUGGGCUCUUUUUUUUCUAAGGAAUUUCCUCAAUUUUUUCGUGUAAGUAGGCUUCUGAGGAGUCUAUUUCACUGAUUUUUGUGAUAUAUUUAAUCAUUCCAGGGCUACAAAAUUUAAGCUGAAUUUAAAUUAUUCAUAAUAUAACAAUCUCUCUUCCUCUGUCUCUCUUUCUUUCUAUAUCUUUCAUUACAUAUAUGUAAUAAAAUAUUUUCAUUAUAUAUCUGUAUAUCUUUUAUAGAAAUCUUUUCAUUAUAUAUUUCAUAUAUAUUCAUGUAUCUUUCAUACAUU